GGGAACCAGUCUAGCUAAACAGCCAGUGGGUGCUUCCGGGCUGUGUGGAUUGUGCUAACUGCAGGUCUGUGAAGACCUGGGGCCUUUCUCUUUCAACACCAGCUAGAAAGCUGCUGCAUCCAGCUCUCCAGUUGGAAACCUGGCUCUGAUACCAGAUGUAAAAGGAUGCUGGCUCUGAUACCAGAUGUAAAAGAUGUUGACUAGUUACCGUGAAAUAUACAUGGAAGACUAUAUGUGAGAGGAUAUUGUGACUGUACAUAAGUCUAUAGAAAUCAUGACAGAAGUUCCAGAGGAAAUAAACCCCCAGCAAUGUGGAGAGCGGAAGCAGCUUUAUCAUCACAUAGAAGUUAUUAACAUGUUUGGAAGGCAGACCGUGAAAAGGUACACACUGACAGCUUAUGGUAUAAAACUCCAGCAGUCAUUGGCUAUCUGAAAAAGUUAUUUAUAUUUCAUGAAAUGUCUGGAAGAUCUGUGAAGUACAAGUGGAAGAUAGGGAAAGUUCAGUCCAAGAAGAUGUGAAGCUGGGCUAGAAAAUCUCUAAAGCUCCCCCAAGCACCCAAAUUCAAGGACUCUUUGCUGUGAUUGGAG
rnacentral:lncRNA from 1 species